rnacentral:rRNA from 1 species
UACGGGAGGCAGCAGUGGGGAAUAUUGCACAAUGGGCGAAAGCCUGAUGCAGCAACGCCGCGUGAGCGAUGAAGGCCUUUGGGUCGUAAAGCUCUGUCCUUGGGGAAGAAAAAAAUGACGGUACCCUUGGAGGAAGCCCCGGCUAACUACGUGCCAGCAGCCGCGGUAAUACGUAGGGGGCAAGCGUUAUCCGGAAUUAUUGGGCGUAAAGAGUGCGUAGGUGGUUUUGUAAGCGCGGGGUGAAAGGCUAUGGCUCAACCAUAGUAAGCCUUGCGAACUGUAAGACUUGAGUGCAGGAGAGGAAAGCGGAAUUCCUAGUGUAGCGGUGAAAUGCGUAGAUAUUAGGAGGAACACCAGUGGCGAAGGCGGCUUUCUGGACUGUAACUGACACUGAGGCACGAAAGCGUGGGGAGUAAACAGGAUUAGAUACCCUGGUAGUCCACGCCGUAAACGAUGAGCACUAGGUGUCGGGGCCGCAAGGUUUCGGUGCCGCAGUUAACGCAUUAAGUGCUCCGCCUGGGGAGUACGCACGCAAGUGUGAAACUCAAAGGAAUUGACGG